UCCGAGUUGGAGACAAAGUCUUGGUCAGAC
rnacentral:piRNA from 1 species